rnacentral:siRNA from 1 species
UGUAAUGCAGAAAUGAGGUC